rnacentral:tRNA from 1 species
GGCAAGGUGGCAGAGUGGUCUAAUGCGUACGUUUUAUCUAAAUCUAGUUCCUUCGGGAGCGUGUGUUCAAAUCACACCCUUGUCG